CUGGACUUGGAUGCCUGGCGGUGGUGGCAGCAGACUCUGGGGACUGGGUGGGGCCGCGGGGGCUGCCAGGCCCAAGUGGAGUGGGUGCUGUUGUGUAGGUGGCGAUCCUGAGAUGGGGCUGUGCCGGGUUCCUAUGUCCCUGGGGGUGCCGGGUGGGGGUGGUCUGCGACGGACCCGAGCACUGGCCCUGAAGGAAGUUCGAAGACCCCCAGAGUCCAUCCUGCGGAGGUGAUCUGCCACCACCCGUGGAAGGACCCUCGUCUUACAUCAGACGUCGCCUGUGUGGGCGAGGCCCCUGUGGCCCUAGAGUUGGAGCAGGCUGAGCUCUCUGACCACGGGGGGUGCAUCCUGGUUCUUGCUGUCCCCAACCCUCUCCUCUCCUGGGUUUCCGCCCCCCAGAGCUGGUGAACACUGGAUACUGCUCAGUUCAGGGUUAAUUUCACGAACAAAUGCCAUUGGGUCUAGGUCAGAAUGGACCCCUGGAGACCCCAUGGGCUUGCCGGG
rnacentral:lncRNA from 1 species